rnacentral:rRNA from 1 species
AUUGAACGCUGGCGGCAGGCCUAACACAUGCAAGUCGAACGGUAACAGGAAGCAGCUUGCUGCUUUGCUGACGAGUGGCGGACGGGUGAGUAAUGUCUGGGAAACUGCCUGAUGGAGGGGGAUAACUACUGGAAACGGUAGCUAAUACCGCAUAACGUCGCAAGACCAAAGAGGGGGACCUUAGGGCCUCUUGCCAUCGGAUGUGCCCAGAUGGGAUUAGCUAGUAGGUGGGGUAACGGCUCACCUAGGCGACGAUCCCUAGCUGGUCUGAGAGGAUGACCCGCCACACUGGAACUGGAGCACGGUCCAGACUCCUACGGGAGGCAGCAGUGGGGAAUAUUGCACAAAGGGCGCAAGCCUGAUGCAGCCAUGCCGCGUGUAUGAAGAAGGCCUUCGGGUUGUAAAGUACUUUCAGCGGGGAGGAAGGGAGUAAAGUUAAUACCUUUGCUCAUUGACGUUACCCGCAGAAGAAGCACCGGCUAACUCCGUG